rnacentral:rRNA from 1 species
GAUGAACGCUGGCGGCGUGCCUAAUACAUGCAAGUCGAGCGAACAGACGAGGAGCUUGCUCCUCUGACGUUAGCGGCGGACGGGUGAGUAACACGUGGAUAACCUACCUAUAAGACUGGGAUAACUUCGGGAAACCGGAGCUAAUACCGGAUAAUAUAUUGAACCGCAUGGUUCAAUAGUGAAAGACGGUUUUGCUGUCACUUAUAGAUGGAUCCGCGCCGCAUUAGCUAGUUGGUAAGGUAACGGCUUACCAAGGCAACGAUGCGUAGCCGACCUGAGAGGUUGAUCGGCAACACGGGACAGAGACCCGGGCCAAGCCUCAUGGGGGGGGAAGAAGUGGGAAACCUCCCGCAAGGGGCAAAGCUUUGACGGACCAGCCCGGGGUGGGUAAAAAGGGUUUUCGGUUCGAAAAACUGUGUUAUAGGGAAAAAAAAAAUGUGAAAAUAAUUAUGCACUUCUGGGGGGUCCUUAAUAGAAAGACCACGACAAGCACCGUC